rnacentral:rRNA from 1 species
UACGUAGGGACCAAGCGUUGUUCGGAUUUACUGGGCGUAAAGGGCGCGUAGGCGGCUUGUCAAGUCACUUGUGAAAUCUCUGGGCUUAACCCAGAACGGCCAAGUGAAACUGACAUGCUAGAGUGCAGAAGGGGCAAUCGGAAUUCUUGGUGUAGCGGUGAAAUGCGUAGAUAUCAAAAGGAACACCUGAGGUGAAGACGGGUUGCUGGGCUGACACUGACGCUGAGGCGCGAAAGCCAGGGGAGCAAACGGG